rnacentral:rRNA from 1 species
AGGACGAACGCUGGCGGCGUGCUUAACACAUGCAAGUCGAGCGGUAAGGCUCCUUCGGGAGUACACGAGCGGCGAACGGGUGAGUAACACGUGAGCAAUCUGCCCUUCUCUUCGGAAUAACCAUUGGAAACGAUGGACUAAUGCCGAAUACGACCUCCUUUCGCAUGAUCGGAGGUGGAAAGCUCCGGCGAGAAGGAUGAGCUCGCGGCUAUCAGCUAGUUGGCGGGUAACGCCCACCAAGGCGACG